rnacentral:rRNA from 1 species
UAUAUUUCUGAGAAUUUGAUCUUGGUUCAGAUUGAACGCUGGCGGCGUGGAUGAGGCAUGCAAGUCGAACGGAACGGUUUUAUAGCUGUUUAGUGGCGGAAGGGUUAGUAAUGCAUAGAUAAUUUGUCUUUAACUUGGGAAUAACGGUUGGAAACGGCCGCUAAUACCGAAUGUGGCGCUAUUUAGGCAUCUAGAUGGUGUUAAAGAAGGGGAUCGUAGGACCUUUCGGUUAAAGGGGAGUCUAUGUGAUAUCAGCUAGUUGGUGGGGUAAAGGCCUACCAAGGCGAUGACGUCUAGGCGGAUUGAGAGAUUGGCCGCCAACACUGGGACUGAGACACUGCCCAGACUCCUACGGGAGGCUGCAGUCGAGAAUCUUUCGCAAUGGACGGAAGUCUGACGAAGCGACGCCGCGUGUGUGAUGAAGGCUCUAGGGUUGUAAAGCACUUUCGCYUGGGAAUAAGAGAAGGCGGUUAAUACCCGYCGGAUUUGAGCGUACYAGGUAAAGAAGCACCGGCUAACUCCGUGCCAGCAGCUGCGGUAAUACGGAGGGUGCUAGCGUUAAUCGGAUUUAUUGGGCGUAAAGGGCGUGUAGGCGGAAGAGUAAGUYRGUUGUCAAAUCUCGGGGCUCAACCCCGAAUCGGCAUCUGAUACUAUUUUUCUAGAGGGUAGAUGGAGAAAAGGGAAUUUCACGUGUAGCGGUGAAAUGCGUAGAUAUGUGGAAGAACACCAGUGGCGAAGGCGCUUUUCUAAUUUAYACCUGACGCUAAGGCGCGAAAGCAAGGGGAGCAAACAGGAUUAGAUACCCUGGUAGUCCUUGCCGUAAACGAUGCAUACUUGAUGUGGAUGGUCUCAACCCCAUCCGUGUCGGAGCUAACGCGUUAAGUAUGCCGCCUGAGGAGUACACUCGCAAGGGUGAAACUCAAAAGAAUUGACGGGGGCCCGCACAAGCAGUGGAGCAUGUGGUUUAAUUCGAUGCRACGCGAAGGACCUUACCUGGGUUUGACAUGCAUAUGACCGCGGCAGAAAUGUCGUUUUCCGCAAGGACAUAUGCACAGGUGCUGCAUGGCUGUCGUCAGCUCGUGCCGUGAGGUGUUGGGUUAAGUCCCGCAACGAGCGCAACCCUUAUCGUUAGUUGCCAGCACUUAGGGUGGGAACUCUAACGAGACUGCCUGGGUUAACCAGGAGGAAGGCGAGGAUGACGUCAAGUCAGCAUGGCCCUUAUGCCCAGGGCGACACACGUGCUACAAUGGCCAGUACAGAAGGUAGCAAGAUCGUGAGAUGGAGCAAAUCCUUAAAGCUGGCCCCAGUUCGGAUUGUAGUCUGCAACUCGACUACAUGAAGUCGGAAUUGCUAGUAAUGGCGUGUCAGCCAUAACGCCGUGAAUACGUUCCCGGGCCUUGUACACACCGCCCGUCACAUCAUGGGAGUUGGUUUUACCUUAAGUCGUUGACUCAACCCGCGAGGGGGAGAGGCGCCCAAGGUGAGGCUGAUGACUAGGAUGAAGUCGUAACAAGGUAGCCCUACCGGAAGGUGGGGCUGGAUCACCUCCUUUUAA